CCUCUAUGCUCCUUCAAUCCUUCUCACGUACGUUUUUCAAACCGUCGUCUCUCUCUCUCUCUUCUUUUUCCAUUUUUAUUUCAUCUUCCAUACAUGCGCAUUAUGCACAUUCAUCUUCCACCGCUUUCUCUCUCAUCUUGAUUUUUAGAAAAUACUGAUUCCAAUUUUAGGGUUAUUCUAUUCCAUUAUUGUUGAUUGCAUCUAUGGCGAUUUUAUUGUUGAGCCAUCAUCCAUGUUUUAUCUUCUUUCCAUCAGUCAUCAAAUGGGUUUUUAUUGUGAAGAGGUUUUGUUGAUGAGGAUGUUAGAUAGUCAAAGCCAUGGGAUUUCAAUCCUUUCUGAUCAAUGGUGAUUUUCAGAAAAUCCUAAAUCUCAAAUCUGGUAAUAAACAGAUGGUUAGGUGUUUUAUAACAGAAAUGGUCUUGAAAAUUGUUUGGAUUGAAUUGAAUUGAAUUAAUUUGAGUUAAUUAAGGUUAGGGUUUAUGUGAAUAGCUUUGAAUAGUGUUUGGAUUGAAUAGAACUGAAUUGAAUUAAGUAGGGUUAAGGGUUUGAUAAGUGGUCUCGCAGAUGUGUAAGCUGAGUAGAUUGGUGACGACGUGUAAGCCGUAGAUUGGUGGCGAUAGAAAUGAGAUACCAGCAGGCAAUGAUGAUUAAGGUAUGUAUAUCGACCCCUGUAGAUAGCCUCCAGAUUACCCACUUGAUAUAGGUAUGUCGAUUUCUUCAUCUCAAAGGUGUGUUUUUCGUAUAAUUAUCUCUCUUCGUUUUAACUUUCUUUCAUCGAUUUGAUGUUAAAUAUGCAUUUGUUUUCGGUUAGGGUUUUUAGAAUCCUCUAAUAGAUUUGAUGUUGAAUGUUCAUUUGUAAGGUAUGCAUUCGUUUUAACUUUGAUGCAUUCGUUUUAACUUUCUUUCAUCGAUUUCACAUUGACCUGUUAACACUUUUCAUUGACCCAUUAGGCAUUUUCAUUUGUUUACGGCCGUUUUGAAGCAUCUAAGAACUCCAACAAAUCCUUCUUUGGAUUAUCCAUCCGUAAAUUCUGAUUAUAUGAGCAAAAUUAAAAGGAUCAUUGGGUUGGUGAGUUGAAACCAAGUUAGAGUGCAUUUGCAGACAACCCAGAAGAGGUUGCAAAUUCUUAUAUGACUAUAUUAGAAAAGGCUAAAAGGGUUGUUCCACAAGAUAUGCACAAAAUACACGUGUUAAAGUUGGGGUUAUGUAUAGUUUUUCUUUUAGGAAAGAGUACGGGUAAUUGUAGCAAUAAUGGUGAUAGCAGUGGAGGUGUUGAAGCUUAGAAGCUGAACUAGAGAUAUACUUUCCUGAGGUUUGUUUUUUGAUUAAUUUCUUUAAAGUUAUUUACAUGAUUUUUUUAUGGUUUAAGCUGUUAUUUUUCCUUAAGGAUUUUCCUUGAGGAAAAUGAU